AAGAUACUGAAUGAUGAGGCCAACCACAUGCUGUAACUGGGGCUCUGCUUCCCCAUGGGAUAAAGUCAAGCCAACAAGAAUGGCUUUGCCUUAGAAUUAGGAAGUACAGCCUCCUCCAAGCCAGGUACUUAUUUGGAAAUUUGCUGAAAAGAAGAGCAUGUGCUCAAGAGGAAAUGAAAGAGUUGAUAAUGAGAUCCUACAGGAAAAGAAGUCACCUUCAGGGUUCCAUUUUCAUCCCAGCCAUUUGAGAACAGUGCAUCCUCAGCUGACGGUAGGGAAAGUGUCCAGCGGAAUAGGGGCUGCAGCUGAAGUCCUGGUCAAUCUGUACAUGAAUGAUCACAGACCUAAGGCCCAGGCCACCUCUCCAGACCUGGAAUCUAUGCGAAAGUCAUUUCCCCUUAACCUGGGAGGCAGCGACACAUGUUACUUCUGUAAGAAACGUGUGUACGUGAUGGAACGGCUGAGCGCCGAGGGCCACUUCUUCCACCGGGAGUGUUUCCGCUGCAGCAUCUGUGCCACCACCUUGCGCCUGGCCGCCUACACCUUUGACUGCGAUG
rnacentral:sRNA from 1 species